rnacentral:lncRNA from 1 species
GGCCAGUUAACUAACUGGCUAGUUAAUGUUUCCUGUAUGUCCAGCAGGAAGGGAGGAGAGGCAACCUUCCAACCACAUCUUGGUCUCUCAUUGUUUUGGAAAGAUAUACCUGUCCUGCUGCCACCCAGUGCAGAGCACAAUGAUUAGUUGAAGAUGGAAGUUGAUGUGAGUAGAUCAAAGCUCAG